GGAGAUGUAACUCAGAGGUAGAGUACUUGCCUUGUAUGCAUAAGGCAAACCCUGGGUUCGAUCCCCACCAUUGCAU
rnacentral:tRNA from 1 species